rnacentral:rRNA from 1 species
UACAGAGGUCUCAAGCGUUGUUCGGAUUCAUUGAGCGUAAAGGGUGCGUAGGCGGCGCGGUAAGUCGGAUGUGAAAUCUUGGAGCUUAACUCCGAAACUGCAUUCGAUACUGCCGUGCUUGAGGACUGGAGAGGAGACUGGAAUUUACGGUGUAGCGGUGAAAUGCGUAGAUAUCGUAAGGAAGACCAGUGGCGAAGGCGGGUCUCUGGACAGUUCCUGACGCUGAGACACGAAGGCCAGGGGAGCAAACGGG